rnacentral:lncRNA from 1 species
AUUCUGAAAGAAAAGAAUCUUGAUUCGUUCAAAAAUAUUUUACCAAUUUGCAAGAUAUUAGUUGCUUGCUUAAUUAGCAUGGCCACACCUUGCCUUCCCAUCACAUGCAAUGGUAUAUGUUGGACUUCUUAAGACAAGGAGGAUGGAAGGAGUGCAUCAGAAGUGAUUAGGACUUAUGACACUUGCACUUGGAUGUUGACCUCUCAUUCAUCUUCACACACGCACGCACACACACAAACACACACAGAGAGAUAGAGAGAGAGAGAGAGAGAGCACAUAAAACAUGGGGCU